AAUGAACCUACCCUCACGGGUAACUAAUACACAGCGGGCUAGUGAAAGCUAGUCCAAUGUGGUCACCAUUUGUUGAAACACCUUUUUUUUGCUUUGGUAGCACCUAAUGCCUAACCGCGGAGGGGUAAGGCUGCCGAAAGCCUAUAACAAAACCAGUUGAUGAAAUGUCAUGCUGUCUGAUACUAUUUAGUAUUUGAGAAAUCAAAUCUAUAUUA
rnacentral:misc_RNA from 1 species